UCAAAUGAGAGUUUGAUCCUGGCUCAGAACGAACGCUGGCGGCGUGCUUAACACAUGCAAGUCGAACGGGGUUAACAUGGAGCACAGAGCACAGAGCGAAGCGCAGGGCGUAUUGG
rnacentral:rRNA from 1 species